rnacentral:tRNA from 1 species
GCAACAGGAGCCAGGGGUGGCAUCAGCCUUGUAAGUUGAGGGGAGAGGACACCAACCUCUCUGUUGCU